GGGCGGUGUCAAUCUCCCACUGCUUCCGCCUGCAGUAGUUCUGGCUGUGGCACGGAGGUGACGCAGAGCGCAGAGCAUGGUCAUAGGGGAAACCGUGAGGGCGCUCUGUAAGGCCCGUGCUAAGAGCAUGCCCAAGGUGUGGGGUGGAAGGCGGGGAUUGGCUCCGGGUUAGGUUCCUCCGGUCCUUGUCCGAUGUGCCGCCUACCGGAUGUGACUUUCCUAGGCCCUGGCCAGGAUUUAGGCCCUAUACUGCAAUGAUUCUGCCACCGGAAAGGAGGUUGUGAGCUGGUGAUCUGUCUCCUUUCACAAGUACCAAGUGAUAAGACAAGAGAAAAUGAACUCAGGCUGCACCAGAGAUAGAGAGUGUGGGACAAUGUCAGACCUAGCUGGCACAAACCCUUCGGGAGGAAGCAAAGAAAAUUGAGGAAUCCAAGGAAAAGUAAAAUCUGCAUUGGAAGAAGGUCAGGGUGUUGAUCCAUCCUCAUCCUUGGUGAUGGAUCCUGGCUCCUGGCUCAUGUCUCCCAACAUGUCCUAGCCCCCUGCAUGCUUCCAGUGCCUGCUGCUGCUAGGAUGUCCCAAACUCCUUCCAGUAUGUUGCAACCCCGCUGCUGAACCUCUAACUUCCUUCUUCUCACCUCUACAUCUUCUCCUUUGGGUGUCUAUUAGAGCCAGCUAUUGCAUGGGCUCAUCUCCAGAGACACGAGCCUCAAUCAGGAA